UCGUAGAAUUUUCGAGCAUUAGCCCUGUCGGCCACCUUAUUAAGCUCUUCAUACUCACGCAUUUCGGCAUCUCUUUUUUUGUCUGCACAUGCAUCUCACUUCCCUCUUCAAUAUUUAUCCCAUCCCGCACGUGUUGUGAUCGAUCGAAUCUUGGUUGCAACAAGAUAGUGAUCCGAGUCGACGUUAGGACUUCGGAGCGUACGUACGUCUAGAACACUGGAGACGUAUUUUCCGUCCAUCACAACAUGAUCGAUCUGGUUGGUGGCUUUUCGAUCCCGAGAGAGCCGGGUAGCUUGAUGUAUUUUCUUAUUCUGGAAUCUUGGCAUCAUCACUGUAUUUGACUUACUAAAUAUAGGCUGGGCCAUCUAACGUUUUAAAUUUGAAUUAUCUAUAAUUCGACAUUGGAAACGUCAAAUGCCAUUCGGAAAGUGACAGAUAUUCAGUAAAAAAUCUAAAAUUUACGAAAUGGACCGCUAUUCUCUAGAAGAAAACUGGAAAACAGUUCGUAGAUUGGGCAGAAGAUCGUUUGACCGAGGAUGGUCAAUUUUACCGAAAAAUCAUCUUGGUUACGUUACAAGCAGAAUUGACCCAUUUGGAGCACAGAAAACCCGCACGUAAUCGUCGAGAAGCCAAUGCACCCAGCACGAAUCACUGUGUGUUGCGGAUUUUGGUCUGGUGAAUCAUCGGCCCAUUUUUCUUCGAAAAUGAAAAAGGAACCGUCGUAACCAUCAAUGGUGAGCGAUAUCGCGCAAUGUUAACCGAAUUUUUCUUCAAGCAAAUUGAAGAGGAAGACUUGGACAACAUUUGGUUUCAGCAGGACGGCGCUACGUGCCAUACAGCAAACGCUACACUCUUUUAAACUUAAACUACUUUCAAAUUUAAAACGUUAGAUGGCCCACCCUGUAUUUAUAUAAAUUUAUGCCAUCAUUAUCAAUGCGUCGUCAUAAAAACCAACGGUAAAGUAAAAUUUGACUAAUGCACCAAAGCCGGUGUUAUCAGUUCGUAUGGCCGCAGAAAAAUAAGUCCAUAAAUAAGAAUUUUUUUUAAUACAUAUAUAAAAAAGUAAGAGAAAAAAUGUGAAGGUUUCUCCGUCGCUACCGUUGUUGGUGUUUUGGCAGAAAUUUCCCAUGGCUAUGGUUAUCUCCAAUGGAGUUGAAGAGUAAAUUGAAAAUUAUUGAAUUAUUGUUUUCAUCGAAAUUUUACGCAGCUUGAAAACUUCGUUGGUGUUAGAGUACAAUUCGCGUAGAAAUUGCAGAUUUAUCCGUCAAUAAUAGCUCGGUUCAGGAACGGGACGUUGUUAGGAGCAAAGAAAGUGCCAAAUUUAUAGUAGUAUGUCAGGGAAAAACGGCAAAUAUAUUGUCUCUUUAAUCUGCAAAAAAUUGGAUAAUAAUUUUUUUUUUUUGGAAGAUUGCCCUGAACAGAACAAAAUAAGUAGCCCUGUGGUGCCGUCAGGCUGAAUUUUGUUUUCGUGUAAAUGCUGCCUUAGAGCAAUAACUUUUUUGUGUUUUUUUUUAAAUGUUUCAAUUGAGAAAUUCUGAAUCCUCUUUAGUUGUCUUCCAAAAUCAAUGCCGCCAAGGCAUUUGAGAAAAAUCUUCCCGGAUUGAUAAACGCUUUGAUCAAAGUUAAAAAACUCAAACUUAUGGCAGAAACUCGUGGAAACGUUUAUGAAAUAUAUGAGCAAAUUUGUGUGCGAUUUGAAUUUAUAAUGCUUCAGAAACAUGGCACUUCAAGACAGCAAUUCCUCCAUCGACGCUGAGUUUGAAACAUAAAAAGUCUUCUUGUGGAUACCCCAAUUUGGCAAUUUAGAGUGAAUGCAAGAUUACUGCAGAUACUGCGCAUGUCGAUGUGAUUUUACCAUUAACAAGAAAAAAACCUACAUAAAUAAGUUAAUGAUAAUUGGCGUAAAGAAGAAAUUGAAUUCAAAAGAAAUCGUUAUCAUUUCUGUGGUAGUUUUACGAUAUGAAAGGAGAUGAACUCAACGUAACUGAAAAAAAUUUAGCAAAAAAGUAUUCCGUUGAUGUAUCUGUUCAGAAGUCCAAUGACGAAGAAAAAUUAUACGAAACUCUUCGUUUGGUGAGAGCGCUGUCAAAAUGCCCAUUUUUAUAGUAUUCAUUAGUGAAGCCACUUUUCCACAUUACCAUUGAGGUAUGCAAAAGGCGCGUUACCAAAGUUAAUUUUGGGCAGGGAUAAUGGGAUGCCCAACUUAUUCCAGUGUGAGAGCGCCUCAAAAUAAGCGUUUUCUAUAACAUUUUCCAUUAUGGCCAGAUCGAACAAAAUAAAAAUUUUUGGGCAUUUAUUACGAUUGCAAAUUAUUAUAUAUUGGACUUUUAAUAUAUGGCAAAACAACUGACUUUCGAUCUUUCAAUACUUAAUAAGGCGAAUUAAGCCUAUUAGUUCUCAAUUAAUAAACGUUUUUAAUCAUUUGUAAUAGAAAAUUAAUUCUAUUAUGCAUUAAAUUACAAAACGUUUAAUGAAAUAAACCCCAGUAGGGGAAUGUAAAUAAUUUUACGAGCAACCGACAUCUAAUUCUACAGAAUUUCGACACCGCACUGGUUUUGGCAGUUCUGAUUGUAUUUUGCUGCAGCUCAGCUCAGAAAAAAGAUCAUGAUCCGCUGCCAGCUACAAAGCGAGAGUAAGAACAGUUUCAUAUCAUUUUAUCUUUGCCAAUGAAGCUAUUCACCUCAAACACGUUUACGAUGCAAAUUUUGGAAGUCAUCUUAUUUCAUACAAUUUAUUGAAUGCUAUCCAUGCACCAAAAUUAGGAACACUUUUCUCAAAUAUUGGCAUCGCUUUGAUGGAUUUCAAACUUAAUGUUCAACAACUUAUGUUUCUGUUUUUUUAUAAAGUUAAGUCUGAAAAAAUAUGGCUAUAGGGGGAUUUUCUUGCUCUUGCAAGAUUACACGAUGACACAAAAUGAAAAAAUCCUAUACCGAAAUAUGCAAGGCCAAGAGAGCACCCAUUGCAGAAUCUAUCAAUUGUGCAUGACUAUUGUCAAUUAGGGCACCUUCUGCAUUCAUUCUUAACAAAAAACUGUAUCAAAUCUUUAUAGUUUAAGUAGAAAUUAUAAAAUCUAUUUAAAACUUACCUUCCUCAACAAUUUAACGACGUAAUAUGCCUUUAUGUGAAAUGACAGUUAAAACAGUGUUACAAUUAUAUUUUUACGAGUCAUUGUACGAAAAUAAGCAUGGGUUUUGGUUUGACAUACAUAUUUUAAAGCCAUUGCAAAUAAUUUUUUCUAUGUGUUUGUUGUUGUGCCGUUGCACCAAUUCUGCAAUUCGUGAAUGGUGCAAUGGUUUUGCAAGAGCAAGGGAAUCCCCCUUAUAUGUGAACUGGGCCCGAAUCGCUGCAGUCGUGAGCGAGCAAGCAAUCGAAUCGAGUGAAAUUUCGUAACGUGUCGAGUGUGCGGAUCGUCACACUCGAUGCGAAACGAAUAGAAAUUUUAUGAAAUAACUUCCCUGGUGGAGCCCUAAAUGACAUUUUCGAAUAACGAAACAAAAUAAAAGAAAGAAGUAUUUGAAUUGGAAUUGAACGCAAAAAAAUUAACCCUAGUGCGUUUUUUAUUCAAGUUCAUCUGAUUCAGAUGAAGAAACUCCACCAAAUGGCCAUAAGGUCCAGGAUUUGUGAAAAAAGUAAUUCCAUGGCUUUACCUGAAGCAGAAUUCAGGAAGCGGUUUAGACUGACCAAAGACGCAUUUACUUUCAUCCUAUCGGAAAUAGAAUUUAACGGCUUCAAUUAGCAGCGACUUUGUCCCUUUUGGCGAGUGGAGGCUAUCAACACUCAGUUGGAAACGACUUUUUAAUUGGAAUGUGUCAAACCACAGUAUGUAAAAUUGUAGGGGACGUGGUUAAUGAAAUGGAAACAAAACUUUGUCCACAUUUCAUUAAGUUUUUGCUAAACCGUUUAUCUAAAUGCACAGAAUACUUUGUUGAGAAAUAUAAAGUUUCAUGAGAUUUGUGAUUACGAACAUCGAAUUUUAGCUAUUGAUUCAAAAUAUGGUGGAGCUGCUCAAGAUUCCUUUGUAUGGAAGCAUUCUGCGCAGAGGAGAUUUUUGAAGGAAGCAUAUAAUCCAAACAAUAUGAUAAAUGUCUGGCUUUUGGGAGAUUCUGGAUAUCCUUUGUAACCAUGGUAUUUGACACCAUUUAGUAACCCGAAGUUGGCUCGUGCCAAGCACGGUUUAAUGAAAUCCAUGCAAAAGGACGCUGUAUUGUUGACGGAUCCAUUGGUAUACUGAAAGACCGGUGGAAAAUUCUUAGUAAUGAUAAAAGAAGUCGGUAUAGUCCUGAAAAGAUGGCAAAGUUCGUCAAUGUAUGUGCAGCGUUGCAUAACAUCUGCAUACAAUUUAAAAAUUCAACAUAUUGCAGAUAUUUUGUAAAUGAAAACAAUGAUACAGAAAUAGAUACUGGAAAUGAGACUCAAUUAACUAAAAUUUGUCAUAAAAUUAGAGAUCAUAUUAUGUUGUCUUUAAAUAAUAAUUGAAUUAAACGCUUCAACAACAUUUGAAUUCAUAUUUUAUUUUAAUAAAUAUAUUUUCAAUAAAGAACUUAGAAUUAACAUAUCUUAUAUAAAGGUAUUUAUUUAUGAAUUUUUCUCUUUAAAAUAUCAAGCUCACGAGUUUUAA